rnacentral:rRNA from 1 species
UCGUGUUGUGAAAUGUUGGGUUAAGUCCCACAACGAGCGCAACCCUUAUCCUUUGUUGCCAGCGAUACGGUCGGGAACUCAAAGGAGACUGCCGGUGAUAAACCGGAGGAAGGUGGGGAUGACGUCAAGUCAUCAUGGCCCUUACGGCCAGGGCUACACACGUGCUACAAUGGCGCAUACAAAGAGAAGCGACCUCGCGAGAGCAAGCGGACCUCAUAAAUGCGUCGUAGUCCGGAUCGGAGUCUGCAACUCGACUCCGUGAAGUCGGAAUCGCUAGUAAUCGUAGAUCAGAAUGCUACGGUGAAUACGUUCCCGGGCCUUGUACACACCGCCCGUCACACCAUGGGAGUGGGUUGCAAAAGAAGUAGGUAGCUUAACCUUCGGGAGGGCGCUUACCACUUUGUGAUUCAUGACUGGGGUGAAGUCGUAACAAGGUAACCAAGGGCGAAUUCUG